rnacentral:rRNA from 1 species
UACAGAGGGUGCGAGCGUUGUCCGGAAUCACUGGGCGUAAAGGGCGCGUAGGCGGGUCUGUUGCGUCCGCUGUGAAAACCCGGGGCUUAACCCUGGGCUGGCAGUGGAUACGGACAGACUAGAGGUAGGUAGGGGAGAAUGGAAUUCCCGGUGUAGCGGUGAAAUGCGCAGAUAUCGGGAGGAACACCGGUGGCGAAGGCGGUUCUCUGGGCCUUACCUGACGCUGAGGAGCGAAAGCGUGGGAGCGAACAGG